GAGUUUGAUCAUGGCUCAGAUUGAACGCUGGCGGCAGGCCUAACACAUGCAAGUCGAGCGGUAACAGGGAUAGCUUGCUAUCUGCUGACGAGCGGCGGACGGGUGCGUAACACGUAGGAAUCUACCCAGUAGCGGGGGAUAGCCCGGAGAAAUCCGGAUUAAUACCGCAUACGCCCUACGGGGGAAAGCAGGGGAUUCUUUCUUUGGAGAGAACCUUGCACUAUUGGAUGAGCCUGCGUCGGAUUAGCUGGUUGGUGGGGUAAAGGCUACCAAGGCAACGAUCCGUAGCUGGUCUGAGAGGAUGAGUCAGCCACACCUGGGACUGAGACACGGCCC
rnacentral:rRNA from 1 species